ACACCACACAGAUCCAUUACCUUGUUGCGCCAAAGAGCAACAGCAGACAAGCCAUGAACUUUCAGAUCGCGCUAGGAGUUUUCUGCCUUAUUGUUCUGGCACAAGGAAUGACCACAACCAUGGGUGCUCCUGAGGGGG